rnacentral:tRNA from 1 species
AUCUUAUUAAUAUAAUCAAGUAUUAUUAACUUCCAAUUAAUAAGUCCUUAACGGAUAAGAUA